rnacentral:rRNA from 1 species
GCUUGUCUCAAAGAUUAAGCCAUCCAUGUCUAAGUUUAAACUACUUUAUACUGUGAAACUGCGAAUGCCUCAUUAUAUUAGUUAUAGUCUAUUUGAGGGUCCUUGCUACUUGGGUAACCGUAGUAAUUCUAGAGCUAUACAUCUAUUAAAUCCUGACUUCUGGAAGGGAUGGGGUGUAUUUAUUAGAUGAAAACCAAUGUGUGGUAACCCGAAAUAUGGUGAAAGCUUUGGAUGGUAUGGUAUCGGCCUAACAUGGCUUUAACGGGUAACGGAGAAUUAGGGUUCGAUUCCAGAGAGGGAGCCUGAGAAAUGGCUACCACAUCCAAGGAAG